AUUGAACGCUGGCGGCAGGCCUAACACAUGCAAGUCGAGCGGAGCGGCGGACGGGUGCGUGAUGCCUAGGAAUCUGCCUGGUAGUGGGGGAUAACGUCCGGAACUGGGCGCUAAUACCGCAUACUAUCACAUGACCCUAGGUCGGUUUAGCUAGUUGGUGGGGUAAAGGCCUACCAGGGCGACGGUCGGUAACUGGUCUGAGAGGAGGAUCAGUCACACGGGAACUGAGACACGGUCCAGACUCCUACGGGAGGCAGCAGUGGGGAAUAUUGGACAAGGGGCGAAAGCCUGAUCCAGCCAUGCCGCGUGUGUGAAGAAGGUCUUCGGGUUGUAAAGCACUUUAAGUUGGGAGGCGGUACCAGCAGAAUAAGCACCGGCUAACUUCGUGCCAGCAGCCGCGGUAAUAC
rnacentral:rRNA from 1 species